rnacentral:rRNA from 1 species
CUACGGGAGGCUCCAGUGGGGAAUAUUGCACAAUGGAGGAAACUCUGAUGCAGCAACGCCGCGUGGAGGACGACACUUUUCGGAGCGUAAACUCCUUUUAUAUAGGAAGAAGAUGACGGUACUAUAUGAAUAAGCGCCGGCUAACUCCGUGCCAGCAGCCGCGGUAAUACGGAGGGCGCAAGCGUUACUCGGAAUCACUGGGCGUAAAGAGCGUGUAGGCGGAUUAAAAAGUCAGAAGUGAAAUCCUAUAGCUUAACUAUAGAACUGCUUCUGAAACUCUUAAUCUAGAAUAUGGGAGAGGUAGAUGGAAUUUCUGGUGUAGGGGUAAAAUCCGUAGAGAUCAGAAGGAAUACCGAUUGCGAAGGCGAUCUACUAGAACAUUAUUGACGCUGAGACGCGAAAGCGUGGGGAGCAAACAGGAUGAGAUACCCCCGUAGUC